CAUCCCUCACCCCGUAGUCUUUCAGUCUUUGGGUGAGAGAGGCAGACAAACAUGAACUACCAAUGGAGGGAGGCCUCAGCUCCUGGUGUAAACUGACUUCCAUCAGUAAACAUUAAGGAGCAUUUUGGCCUCAGUGGAAAUAAAGCAGAGUUACUGCCUUGAAUAAAUCUCUGGCUGGGUGUGGGGAGAGAAUUUAGGUUCCUGAAAUAAUCAGAAAACCAUCAAGAGGCCAAGAAUCAUCUCGCAGCAGAUGACAAAGUAAAGCAGGUCAUUGAAGCAUAGAGGGAACACACACAUGGAACACUUUAAGUUAAGCAAAAUGCGUAUCACGUGUCGUCAUCACAGCAGCCCUGUGAAGUGAACAGAGGAUUGGUCCUUCUUGUUACAAGUGAGAAACUGAGGCUUAGCCACACAGAACGACCCGGGGUGUUCAGUGCUUCCGUGGCAUCAUGUGGUUUCCAGGUGAUAAACAGAGGUGCUUAGGUCUUCCAGCCUCAGAUGGGAACCUCUUAUCUGUGUGCUGUUCCCCCUCCCCUCCCUGGAAUUCAACUAAGAGAAAUAGUCUGAUGACCGGGGAAGCCCCAUCUGAAAGAAAGGAAUCUCGAGAGCUGAUUUGAGUCAAGGGAAAAGAAAAGGCAAGACUCACCUCCAGCCCAGGUUCAGGCUCGUGACGAGUCUGGUGUCUGUGGAGUGUGAAGAAAGGUCAGUGGUUACUUGUUCUCACUCCCCUCUGCUGUAGCAGGGGCCCCAAUAACGCCUUGCCUGAAGGAAAAAAAAGAUCAGUCACUUGAAAAUGAGGCAUCUUUCAAACGUAAACUGCAUCCCACAGUAGGAAGUGCGUCUGUCAUGUCAGUCUACUGCACACACCCACACUGAUGAGUGCUGAGACCAGGUCCAUGAGCCUGCACUUACCUAUACGCGAUACACUCUUGAGUUGCUAAUUUACUCUGUUGCAGCCUUCUGUGUGUUUUUGUUUUAACGCUAGGUAGCCACAGUGUAGCACAAGCUUGUGACCAGACCCUGAAAACACUGAGCGAGCAGGUUGCUCUUGUCCCUCAUAGUGACGGGUGAGGCAGAGCAGAUGGUGAGGGGCCAGGCUGGCCACGUGAGCGGGGUGGAGCAGAAGUUCACUUCAGUCAUCCGGCCCUCUGAGCAUUUUGGAAGGUGGCUUUCCACCUGUCACUUGAGCAGACUUUGAUAAUGUAUAGAAGAAAUGGAGACUAUAAAUUUUGAAGCUUGGGUGGUGUGAGAGUUCUUUACCUAUUGCGUUUGCACUGGAAAGGUGUUUGAGAGGACCGCUAAUGCUGCCU